rnacentral:rRNA from 1 species
AUUGAACGCUGGCGGCAGGCCUAACACAUGCAAGUCGAACGGGUGGCGGACGGGCGAGUAAUGUCUGAGACACUGGCUGACGGAGGGGUAUAACGAGUGUAAACGGUAGCUACUACUGCUUACCAUCGUAUGUGCUGAGAUGGGAUUAGCGAGUCGGUGGGGUAAAGGCGCACCUAGGCGACGAUCCCUAGCUGGUCUGAGAGGCUGACCAGCCACACUGUAACUGAGACACGGGCCAGACUCCUACGGGAGGCAGCAGGGGGGAAUAUUGCACAAUGGGCGCAAGCCUGAUGCAGCCAGGCCGCGUGUAUGAAGAAGGCUUUCGGGUUGUAAAGUACUUUCGGUGGGGAGGCGUUACCCACAGAAUAAGCACCGGCUAACUCCGUGCCAGCAGCCGCGGUAAUUC